AGUAAAGUGGCGACCGGGUGAGUAACACGUGACUAACCUACCUUCAAGUGGGGGGAUAACCUCGGGAAACCGGGGCUAAUACCGCAUAACAUCUUUGAAGUGGAAAUUUCGAAGAUCAAAGGAGCAAUUCGCUGGAAGAGGGGGUCGCGGCUGAUUAGCUAGUUGGCGGGGUAAUGGCCCACCAAGGCUUUGAUCGGUAGCCGGCCUGAGAGGGCGCACGGCCACACUGGAACUGAAACACGGUCCAG
rnacentral:rRNA from 1 species